rnacentral:rRNA from 1 species
UACGAAGGGGGCUAGCGUUGCUCGGAAUCACUGGGCGUAAAGCGCACGUAGGCGGCUUGUUAAGUCAGGGGUGAAAUCCUGGAGCUCAACUCCAGAACUGCCUUUGAUACUGGCGAUCUCGAGUCCGGGAGAGGUGAGUGGAACUGCGAGUGUAGAGGUGAAAUUCGUAGAUAUUCGCAAGAACACCAGUGGCGAAGGCGGCUCACUGGUCCGGUACUGACGCUGAGGUGCGAAAGCGUGGGGAGCAAACAGG